rnacentral:rRNA from 1 species
UACGGGAGGCAGCAGUGGGGAAUAUUGCACAAUGGGCGAAAGCCUGAUGCAGCUAUGCCGCGUGUAUGAAGAAGGCCUUAGGGUUGUAAAGUACUUUCAUCGGGGAGGAAAAACAAAACUAAUAAUUUUAUUUCUUGACGUUACCCGAAAAAGAAGCACCGGCUAACUCCGUGCCAGCAGCCGCGGUAAUACGGAGGGUGCUAGCGUUAAUCAGAAUUACCGGGCGUAAAGAGCACGUAGGUGGUUUUUUUAAGUCAGAUGUGAAAUCCCUGGGCUUAACCUGGAACUGCAUUUUGAAACUGAAAUACUAGAGUAUCGUAGAGGGAGGUAGAAUUCUAGGUGUAGCGGUGAAAUGCGUAGAUAUCUGGAGGAAUACCUGUGGCGAAAGCGGCCUCCUAAACGAAUACUGACACUGAGGUGCGAAAGCGUGGGGAGCAAACAGGGAUUAGAUACC